UCUCCGUAGGUGAACCUGCGGAGGGAUCAUUACAGAGUUCAUGCCCUCACGGGUAGAUCUCCCACCCUGUGUUAUUAUACUUUGUUGCUUUGGCAGGCCGCCCGCGUGGGCUACCGGCUCCAGCUGGUAAGUGCCUGCCAGAGGACCCCAAACUCUGGAUAUUUUAUUGUCUGAGUACUAUAUAAUAGUUUAAAACUUUCAACAACGGAUCUCUUGGUUCUG
rnacentral:misc_RNA from 1 species